rnacentral:rRNA from 1 species
CCUACGGGAGGCAGCAGUGAGGAAUAUUGGUCAAUGGCCGGAAGGCUGAACCAGCCAAGCCGCGUGAAGGACGAAGGUGCCAAGCAUUGUAAACUUCUUUUGUCAAGGGACAAAAUCAGGCUCGAGAGCCUGACCGAGGGUACUUGAAGAAAAAGCAUCGGCUAACUCCGUGACAGCAGCCGCGGUAAUACGGAGGAUGCGAGCGGUAUCCGGAUGUAGUGGGUUAAAAGGGUGCGUAGGCGGGCUGUUAAGUCAGCGGUAAAAGCCCGGGGCUCAACCCCGGCUAGCCGUUGAAAGUGGCUGUCUUGAGAUGUCGAGAGGUAUGCGGAAUGCGCAGUGUAGCGGUGAAAUGCUUAGAUAUUGCGCAGAACUCCGAGUGCGAAGGCAGCAGACCGGCGGCGAUCUGACGCUGAGGCACGAAAGCGUGGGUAUCGAACAGGAUUAGAUACCCCAGUAGUC